rnacentral:lncRNA from 1 species
GGGAGUGCUGGUGUAACUUCGGGCGCAGGCCUUUCGGCUUCCACUAUGAAGCGGCCGAAAUUAAAGAAAGCAAGUAAACGCAUGACCUGCCACAAGCGGUAUAAAAUCCAAAAAAAGGUUCGAGAGCACCAUCGAAAGUUGAGGAAAGAGGCUAAAAAACGGGGUCGAAAGAAGCCUAGGAAAGACCCAGGAGUUCCAAACAGUGCUCCUUUUAAGGAGGCUCUUCUUCGGGAAGCUGAGCUAAGGAAACAGCAGCUUGAAGAACUGAAACAGCAGCAGAAACUUGACAGGCAAAAGGAACAGAACAAGAAAAGAAAACUUGAAACUGACCCUGAUGUUGAGCUAUCUAACACAGAACCUGAAUCAGGGCAACGCAAAGCUAAGAGAGCCAAGACAAGCAAACAGAGUCCGAAGAUGCUGCACUGCCAGGAACUUAAAAAGGUGAUUGAAGCCUCAGAUGUUGUGCUAGAGGUGUUGGAUGCCAGAGAUCCUCUUGGUUGCAGGUGUCCCCAGGUAGAAGAAGCCAUCAUCAGGGGCGGACAGAAAAAGCUGGUACUUGUAUUAAAUAAAUCAGAUUUGGUACCAAAGGAGAAUUUGGAGAACUGGCUAAGUUAUUUGAAGAAGGAAUUGCCAACAGUGGUGUUCAAAGCCUCAACACAACUUAAGGACAAAAGGAAGCGUAUCAAGGUAAAGAAGAAAGCUGCUCUGUCCAAAAGUGAAGCCUGUGUUGGAAAAGAAGGCCUUUGGAAGCUUCUUGAAGGUUUUCAGAAAACUUGUGGCAAAGCCAUUCACGUUGGGGUAAUUGGUUUCCCAAAUGUGGGGAAAAGCAGUGUCAUCAAUAGCUUAAAGCAAGAACAGAUAUGCAGUGUUGGUGUAUCCAUGGGGCUCACGAGGUGCAUGCAGCUUGUCCCCUUGGACAAACAAAUCACGAUCAUAGACAGUCCGUGUUUCAUUGUGUCUCCACUUAACUCUGCUCCUGCACUUGCUCUGAGAAGUCCAGCAAGUAUUGAGGAAGUAAAACCACUGGAAGCUGCCAGCGCCAUCCUGUCCCAGGCUGAUGCCCAGCAGGUAGUACUGAAAUUUACUGUCCCAGUCUUUACGAAUUCUCUGGAAUUUUUUACUUCAUUUGCUCAGAGAAGAGGACUGCACCAAAAAGGUGGAAGCCCAAAUGUAGAAAGGGCUGCCAGAGUGCUGUGGUCUGAGUGGACAGGUGCUUUCUUAGUUUACUAUUGCCAUCCCCCUGCAUCUUGGACUCCUCCUCCACAUUUUAAUGAGAGCAUUGUGACAGACAUGAAAUGGGGCUUUGAUCUGGAAGAACUGGAAAAGAACAAUGCACACAGCAUACAAGCCAUCAAGAGCCCUCAUUUAGCCAGUAGCAUCCUCUUCCAGUCAUCGGGUCUGACAAAUGGAGUGAUAGAUGAAAAGGACAUACCUGAAGAAUUGCCAAAACAGAAAAAACAGAAGCAGGAGCAGGAGGAGAGCUAUGAAGAUGUCAGGAUAGAUCAGGGAAUUGUUGACAAAGAAGGUGAUGAUGAGAGCUUAGACAUGUCCCCUGCAGAAGAGGCCUGUGAGGCACUGCCUGAGAAGUCUCAAGCAGAGAAGCAGUCUGCACCAUCUUUUGUCUUGGAAUAAAAUGACUGAAGAGGAAGAUGAUGCUUAUGACUUCAGUACAGAUUAUGUAUAAUAAAGCCUUGUCCU